UUUAACUGAGCGUUCAGUUACUUGACGUAGACCCGAAACCGGGCGACCUACCCAUGAGCAGGAUGAAGCGAAAGUAAAAUUUCGUGGAGGUCCGAACCCACGAGCGUUGAAAAGCUCGGGGAUGACUUGUGGGUAGCGGUGAAAUUCCAAUCGAGCCCGGAGAUAGCUGGUUCUCCCCGAAAUAGCUUUAGGGCUAGCCUCAAGGUGAGAGAUACGGAGGUAGAGCACUGAAUGUCCUAGGGGGUAUUGCACCUACCGAAGACUAUCAAACUCCGAAUGCCGUCAUCUUAUACUUGGGAGUCAGACUGUGGGUGAUAAGAUUCAUAGUCGAAAGGGCAACAGCCCAGAUCGUCAGCUAAGGUCCCUAAAUGUAAGUUAAGUGGUAAAGGAUGUGGGAUUGCACAGACAACCAGGAUGUUGGCUUAGAAGCAGCCACUCAUUCAAAGAGUGCGUAAUAGCUCACUGGUCGAGUGAUCCUGCGCCGAAGAUUUCCGGGGCUAAAACUUACUACCGAAGCUACGGCAUCAGUAAUGAUGGGUAGGGGAGCUUCCCAUACGGGUUGAAGCAUGACCGUAAGGACAUGUGGACAGUAUGGGAGUGAGAAUGUUGGCAUGAGUAGCGAGAUGUGGGUGAGAAUCCCACAGGCCGUAAACCCAAGGUUUCCAGGGGAAGGUUCGUCCGCCCUGGGUUAGUCGGGACCUAAGCUGAGGCCGAAAGGCGUAGGUGAUGGACAACAGGUUGAUAUUCCUGUACUACCGAUAACCG
rnacentral:rRNA from 1 species